CCAAGGCUUCAUCGGUUGGUUGCCGCAUGGAAGAUAUCAUUAAGGCCGCUGACUGUUCUUCGGAUACCACAUUUAAAGAAUUUUAUCUCCAUUCUAUUCAUCAUUUCUCCGAACGCCUGGUAGAUCAGCUUUAAAAUUGCAUAAUAGGAGCCUUUAAUAAAAUGUCCAAGAGUUUACUAUUACAUGACGUAAAGUCAUGAUUUUAUUAAUGACACGGAGGCGAGUAUUAUUCCCACCCAUUCUUUCCCUCCCUGGGCGAGAGAAAUGAUUGUGGUCUGGUCUCAGCUUGCUCUGCUAUGGAUGUUUCGUUGGAGUUCUACAUGAGGCCUUGCUUCGGUUUCCUGUUUGGUUUCUUCUGGUUCGGUUUCGUUGGAUCCGCAAAGAAAGAGGAAGUUCCUUAGGAUUGCAUUCCCCCUGAGGAUGAUGAGGACUGCUGAUUGGUUGGGCUAUCGCUGGGCAGUGUUAUGGUUGUUACUAUUUCAUUUGUUUUAACUCUUUCAGUCAAGUUUUUUCCCUCAAUUCUUUGCUGCUGAGGGAGUAAUAAAGAAAGAGAAUGCAUAA